rnacentral:tRNA from 1 species
GGCUUCGUAGCUUAACUGGAUAGAGCACCUGACUACGAAUCAGGAGGUUGCAGGUUCGAAUCCUGCCGAGGUCA